UACCCCGCUGAACUUAAGCAUAUCAAUAAGCGGAGGAAAAGAAACCAACAGGGAUUGCCCUAGUAACGGCGAGUGAAGCGGCAACAGCUCAAAUUUGAAAUCUGGCUCUUUCAGAGUCCGAGUUGUAAUUUGCAGAGGGCGCUUUGGCUUUGGCAGCGGUCCAAGUUCCUUGGAACAGGACGUCACAGAGGGUGAGAAUCCCGUACGUGGUCGCUAGCUAUUGCCGUGUAAAGCCCCUUCGACGAGUCGAGUUGUUUGGGAAUGCAGCUCUAAAUGGGAGGUAAAUUUCUUCUAAAGCUAAAUAUUGGCCAGAGACCGAUAGCGCACAAGUAGAGUGAUCGAAAGAUGAAAAGCACUUUGGAAAGAGAGUCAAACAGCACGUGAAAUUGUUGAAAGGGAAGCGCUUGCAGCCAGACUUGCUUGCAGUUGCUCAUCCGGGCUUUUGCCCGGUGCACUCUUCUGUAGGCAGGCCAGCAUCAGUUUGGGCGGUGGGAUAAAGGUCUCUGACACGUUCCUUCCUUCGGGUUGGCCAUAUAGGGGAGACGACAUACCACCAGCCUGGACUGAGGUCCGCGCAUCUGCUAGGAUGCUGGCGUAAUGGCUGUAAGCGGCCCGUCUUGAAACACGGACCAAGGAGUCUAACAUCUAUGCGAGUGUUUGGGUGUCAAGCCCGAACGCGUAAUGAAAGUGAACGGAGGUGGGAACCCGCAAGGGCGCACCAUCGACCGAUCCUGAAGUUUACGGAAGGAUUUGAGUAAGAGCAUGGCUGUUGGGACCCGAAAGAUGGUGAACUAUGCUUGAAUAGGGUGAAGCCAGAGGAAACUCUGGUGGAGGCUCGCAGCGGUUCUGACGUGCAAAUCGAUCGUCAAAUUUGGGCAUAGGGGCGAAAGACUAAUCGAACUAUCUAGUAGCUGGUUCCUGCCGAGUUUCC
rnacentral:rRNA from 1 species